ACAUAGGGUGCAAGCGUUGUCCGGAAUUAUUGGGCGUAAAGAGCUCGUAGGUCGUUUGUCGCGUCGAUUGUGAAAAUCUGAGGCUCAACCUCAGACUUGCAGCCGAUACGGGCAAGCUAGAGUUUGGUAGGGGAGACUGGAAUUCCUGGUGUAGCGGUGGAAUGCGCAGAUAUCAGGAGGAACACCGAUGGCGAAGGCAGGUCUCUGGGCCAAUACUGACACUGAGGAGCGAAAGUCUGGGGAGCGAACAGGAUUAGAUACCCUGGUAGUCCAGACCGUAAACGGUGGGCACUAGUUGUGGGAACCUUCCACGGUUUCUGCGACGCAGCUAACGCAUUAAGUGCCCCGCCUGGGGAGUACGAUCGCAAGAUUA
rnacentral:rRNA from 1 species